GACGAACGCUGGCGGCGUGCCUAAUACAUGCAAGUAGAACGCUGAAGGAGGAGCUUGCUCUUCUGGAUGAGUUGCGAACGGGUGAGUAACGCGUAGGUAACCUGCCUGGUAGCGGGGGAUAACUAUUGGAAACGAUAGCUAAUACCGCAUAACAGUAGAUGUUGCAUGACAUUUACUUAAAAGGUGCAAUUGCAUCACUACCAGAUGGACCUGCGUUGUAUUAGCUAGUUGGUGGGGUAACGGCUCACCAAGGCGACGAUACAUAGCCGACCUGAGAGGGUGAUCGGCCACACUGGGACUGAGACACGGCCCAGACUCCUACGGGAGGCAGCAGUAGGGAAUCUUCGGCAAUGGACGGAAGUCUGACCGAGCAACGCCGCGUGAGCGAAGAAGGUUUUCGGAUCGUAAAGCUCUGUUGUAAGAGAAGAACGAGUGUGAGAGUGGAAAGUUCACACUGUGACGGUAUCUUACCAGAAAGAGACGGCUAACUACGUG
rnacentral:rRNA from 1 species